GGGCGACACCUGGCGGCGCCGCGGGGAAGUGCCCGGGGCGGGCCGGCGCCGGGCAUCGCGCUCUGGGUUCCCUUCCGGGCGAAGCGGCCCAUCCGCAAGGAGUUCGCAGGGGUUUCGGUUACGUUGUCACGCUGCGUUCCUUAGGCGGCGGAGCGCGGGCAGGUUUUGUGUUCCACGUGACUUUUUGCGUGGAUGUUUCGUACUACGUCAAGGUGUGAUUACGGAGCUCUUCCUCUGCUGUGCCCUGAGCUACUGCGGAGUCUUCUUGGAAAAGGCAGCUAUAAGUGAUUCAACGGCGAAUGCACAGCGCUCACGGAGGGGUUUGGAGGGGUCGGGACGACUGCUAAGGUCUGUGACUGUUGUUUCAGGUGGAGUAGCUGGCCCGACGGAACGCAAGGAGUCGUUCCAGGGAGAAGGAACAUCGCCGCCGAAGCAAGGACACGAGAAAGCCGGAGCGUGGGUAGCAGAUUAGUGCUCAGUGUGGCUCGGCUUCUGUGUAGCUUGGGUUCCCAGGAAACGUGGUGAGACGGAUAUUUGCAUGCAGGUGGCUUAUGGAGGAGGAGAGAUUGAACUGGAGGGGCUACAAUGGAGCGAGCAUCAGGCAAACCCAGGGGAUGGGAUGGCCCUUCAGGGACGUCGUGAACUGAGACAGGUGGGCGGAGCCUUUGUCCUGCUGCACAGACCCGUCGCUGACCGCGGGCCGCCCCUGGGAGGGGGCGUAGUAGGGAGAGGAAGCCCUUUCAGCUCAGGGCAGUUCUCACCGAGGGGCUUACCUCUGAGCCGUCAGCCUGCGACACUUCCAGCGGCCGAGGGAAUGAGAGCCUUGGUCCUCACGGGGGAGUCAUCCACCGUAUGCACGAGGGUGUGUUCCCCAUCCUUAGCACCUCUGCUGUUCCAGGUGAGUUACCUGGUGGAGUGACCCAGACUUUCACCGUCGAGGCUUCAGAGGCCCUGACCAUCGUGCCCUUCCCAGGGCUCGCCUGUUGUACUUGUCCACAUACCAUCAAAUUGGGCAGAGGGACACCCAGUGGUCCUGGAGACUCCGCCUGCAUCCCUCUCUGAAAGCGUCGCAUUCUGGGAUUCGGGAUCACUAGAAGAGGCCAGAAUUGUGAGAACGACAAAUACGAAGUCCCCUAAGAGUGAUGAUAAGUGGGGCCACCCCUGCUCUCCUUGCCUUGGUUCCCACACCCAGGUCCUUACGGAGGGGACACAGCACCGUGCAGGGCGUACACCCCACCCUGAAGGACGGCGCCUCUUCCCCACAGUCUGUAGACUCCGAGCUGAAAGGCAGGCUGAUUGCCAUCUCGCCGGGAGCUUCCAGUUCUGGAGGUCGGAAGUCCUGCAGUCAGGGUGUCUCAGGGAUGCUCCUUCCGGCGGCUCCAGGGAGAACCUGCCUCCUUGCCUCGCCAGCGUCCAGCGGCGCCCACAUCCCUUGGCUGGCAGCCCCUUCCUCCACCUUGACAGCGGGCCGCUCCAAGCUCUGCCUCAUCUGUCACCCCAUUUCCUCCCGGGUCCCUAUGACAGGGACCUGCCCAUGCUGUCCAGGAGGAGCUGCCCACCUCAGGGCCCUUGGCCACACCUGCAAGCUCCCUUCUGCCAUGUAAGGUAACAUCAUGGCUUCUGGGGCGUAGGGCAUGGAGACCUUUGGGGGCCAUUGUUUGACCACCGCAGCCAUUCAUGACAUAGAGCAAAGGUUCCCACGUCCCUCCUUCCCUAACUCAGUUCAACCACUUCCAGAGUUUGGAGUCUGCCCCUAGCGACAUCCCAUACUUCCUAGAACUAAACUCUGCAAGAGUUAAGACGUUGGCGGUUUCAAGAAGGACAAAAUCCAGCUCAGAUCGGCUUAUGCUUGUUAUACAAAAACCUUAGAGGCCGAAAGCUUUUCUGAAGGAGGGGGUUAUGGAGCCAUGUGCUAGCCGGAAAAAGGUCUAAACCACCGGCACCCAGGCGGCUGGGGAACGCAGACGCGUCAUCACGGGCUCUUCGAUACAGUGAGUUUGGGGCACAAAGGUGCUGGUUGUUUUAAAGGAAUUUAUAUUGGCUCUAGACAAAGGGUGGGAGGAGGAGAGGUUCCGGUCCUGGGACAGGCCCCUGUUCCUACGGAAGAAGCGGGUUGCCUGUGGGCCACAGUUGCGGAAGCUCACGCGUGAGCAAGUGCGGGGGGCCCCUGGAGACUCGCUGUUCUCUCCAGAUGAUCGGGGAAGCAGCCACCUGGAACUUAACUUGGAGUUCAAGGCGCACUCAGGAACGUAGGCAUCCUUUUUGGCUUUGCCCUGCAGCUGCUAACUGACCUGUCUCUCCCUCCCACCUUCCGCCUGCUGCAGCUAAUUUAGGGCAUCUCACAAUUGUCUCCUUGUCACACUCUCUAAAGGGAGUUUCUGAGUUUAUGUAGCUGAACAAGCCCAGAGGUGCCCAUGAGUUUGGAGAAGGGUGAUUCAACUGCUGGACAAUGACACCUUGAGGUCACAAGAUGCCAGCAAGGGAUGGGUGGCACAGACCCUGGGGAGAACCCCCAGCAUCCACCACAUCACCAAAGGCAGCAGCCAUGCUGAGAAAAACAGAUUUGCCGACCUAAACUCAUUUGUCAAUUUUUUUAAUUGGACGAAAUAUACGUACCAUAUCUGACGCGGGAUUACUAUGUGGAAAUCGUACAACUAAGGAAGUAAAAGGCUCUGACAGGAAACAGUUUGCUUUUUAAAAUUAGGUAUAUAUUUUAAAUGUUUGAGUAAAUAGGUCCAAAGACUUAUUUAAAGAGGAAAUACAAGUGGCAAUUGAACAAAUAAAAUGGGACGUUUUAGUAAUUUUAAAAACUAGAAAAUAAGGGAAAUACCACUUUUAUCGAUAGGCCGGCGAAGAUGAGAAAGGACGAUGUUGGCAUCGGUGCCGGGAAACGGACGCGCCGUCCGUGAGAGCGCCCCCUGGGGUCACGUUUGGAAGUGCAGUUGACAAAAGCCCUAUGAAUACACACACGCUUUGACCCUCCAGUUUCUCCCUAUGGAUUAUCCCAAGGAAGGAUCUGGACAAGUGAGUGAAGAUACACACCCACGGUGCUCUCUGUAACAAUACUGAAAACAGUACAAAGCUGGAAAAAAAUCUAAACAUCUGAUGGUAACAACACGGCCGUUAAAAAUGAUGUCAUCGAUAUAUCUUUUGGGGGGGCGGGCGGUCAAAGAAAGUUGUUCACAGGAGGACACUGUUAAGUGGAGAUGGCAGGUUAUGACAUUUGUUGGGAAAAGUUUUACAUAUAGACCUCGGAAAUUUGAGAAGGCCAUUGCAUCGGUGAAGACAUUCCCAGAAGAAAACAUAAUUCGACUGAUUUGAACAAUAAAGGGGUUUCGCCGGUUCGGCGUCUGGAAAGUCCAGCUGGGAGACAGGCUUUGCUACAGUUCGGUCCGGGCCGCAGGUCCGUUUGUCCGCAGGUCCGUUUGUCCGCAGGGUCCCCCAGUCCCCUCUGUAUGGAGACUUGGUCUUCAGGCUGGCUUUCCUCAGAGUCACGACAUGGCUGCCCGCAGCCGCUGGGGCCACAGGCUUCAUCGCCCACAGCCCCGGGAGACAGAGCUUUGCUUCCCAGAGCGUCACUCUGACGGGGCCCUCAGGGGGCAGGAGGACGCCCUGCACUGCCCUGUCUAGACCUGGAUAACUGGCUCCCGCUAAAGCAGCCACUUCGAAAGGAGGGGAGCCACGCCGCCCCCACAGCGGGACUGGGGAUAGCCCCUCCCAACCCCAUGACCACUGCAAAGUGGGGCAUGGGCGGGGUGGGUGGCCGUGCAACCACGCCUGCCACAGGUGGCACCCAGAUGCUAACAGUGCGGGGAUAAUGGGGAGUUCGUUUGGAAAUAUUUUGUGUAUUAAGAAACUCAGAAAUACCUUACAAGGCUCACCUUUCCCAUGAGUUACUCCAUCAGCUUUCCUGCGAUAAAACUCCCUCGUAAUUGACUGCAGCCGUGCCGCCCAUGAAUUCCAGGACAGUUUUACGUUUCCUCAUACGGGUCUUUCCCAUCCUCGCUGCCUUUGCUCCUGUGUGUUUUAUUUAAAUGGGACGUGAAUGUUUUUGCCUCAGAUUCAGCCUCUGCCAUGAGAUAAUCUCAGUUCUGAUAGUUGGUCACUUUAUUUUUACUCAAAUAAAAGGUUUAAAUUUUUUUAACGCAAAGAAAAGGCUAAGCUCAUGAAUCAUAGAGGGCCUGGCCUGAUAAAUCGAAGCACGGGAAUUGCCGGUGGACUUCAGGGAUGAGCGUGACGUGAGCAGAUGUGCGACUCGAAGGGUGCCCCCGAGACCACCUGCCUACUGACUGCGCCCCUUCUCCCGGCGUGCCCUCGUCCCCAGGCACACGUCUCCUGGUGGGUUACUGCUGUGUUCUCCUGAGCCCCUGCCCCGUGGCCAGCGUCGUCCGGCGCAGCAGUGGGUGUCUGAGCCAGGCUGGGUUGGUGAGUCCCUCCCCCGGACAGCUUUGGCAAGAGAGACAGGGCAGCGGGCCCCUUCCACGGGGCAGAAGCAGCAAGAUCGGGGCUCAGGAAGCGUGAGGCCAUGUUCCUUGCUGUGCAGAGCGUGGAGAGCAGAAGGCAGAAAGACAGAAAUCAGUGAGGAUGGCCUUCGAGACCCUGGGUCCAUUUGUCCCUCCGCCCAGCUCUGCCCCUUACACUGCACAGAGGCCUACACUCCUGCGGUUCUGGGAACAGUGACAGCAUGAGGCCAGUCCUGGGCGUCCUGAGAGGGUGACCAGGACAUGUCUGACUGACUGUAAACCAGUGGCCAUGUGAGUCAUCGGGUGUCGGGGAAAAGAGAGUAAGCUUCCCUUUAUAUAUUUAUCUCAUAGCUAAAGAAGGAAAGAAAUUAAAUUGUGCUAAUAUUUAGUGUGUGACAGAGGUACAUGCACACAAUGCGUAAAUAAAUAUGCUCAUAUGGGG